rnacentral:lncRNA from 1 species
CCACUGGCUGCCACCAUUACCAUCAUUGUCUGCCACCACCACCCACUAUGACUGUAUUAACAACCUCCUACUGAUAAUUCUCGUGGUAUCGAUUAUCAUUCUUUCCAAUCCAGUGCAGGGUUACUUCCAAACCCACCAAAUUCUUGCACCACUACCCCCCUACCAAAAGGGAUUCUUCUACUUUGAUUUCGCCCAAAAUCCCGUUAACUUCUCUUAAUGAAGAUCGCAAAAGCUUGAAAAAGAACUAAAAAAAUUAGUAUGAUUCCAAUCCCAAUUACGAUUAAAUUCGAUGGCAAAGGGGGGUUAUGAGGAUGAUUUCCAUUUCUCUGAACGUUGGGUUGGACUGGCUUAUUUUUGCUCACCUCCCUUAAAUUCUUUGCCCAUGCCAAAAUUCUCACUCCGGCAAAAAGGUCUGUUUCACUUGACUUAAUCUAUGGCAAAAUCUGUUCCUACUUUCCCAACCAAGGGGCAUAGUCUCUCACCUAGUGAUUUGUUUGAUGAAUUUGUUGACAAUAAUGAAUCAAAAUUUGGUUCAUUAAUUUUAAAAACAGUUUUUGAAAUGGAUGAAUGUGAUGAUGACAAGUAUGAUUGUUAAUCAAUAUUGUAAAAAAUAAUUGUACAUGUAGUAUGGCUCUUUUUUUGAUAGUGCUGAAUUGAUCUUGGCUAGCUUAUAUUUGCAGGACAACUUGGGGUGGUGUAAGGGUGAGUGGAGAAGAUGAUUCAUGGAAAAGCUUCUCGUAUAGAAGCUGGUUCACAAAACAGCUACAGAAAUUUAAAUUGAUAAAAAAUGUAUUGACGUGUUGGGUGUCCAGCAGAAAAAUUGAAAGGGGAUGUAACACACCACUCCACCCGCCAUUGAGAUCCCCCCACCCCCAAGAUAAGAUAUUUCUCGUCUCUCCCCGAAGCUAAAGUUGUUAGAUUGAUUGCCAGCUAGGGCGAAACACCAGCUCAUCUUUACACACUCACCCACAACAUCGACAACAGUCGCUCUCCCAUAUUGGAAUCCUCGCACGUCGAGUGCAAAGAUGGUAAUGUCCAACUCCCGUGACGAUAAAAACCAGUCUUCACCAACUCCGGAAAACCCAAGUGAGCGACAAUCUUUUUUUAUGUUUCUGAUCGUGUUUUGUUUUUUCAUGAUAUGCUUCUAUUGUGUUGUGAAUGCCUUGUUUGAGAGUUAUAUUUGUUGUUGCCAAGGUCUGCUCUCUUGGUAAUGUUAUUUAAACCCAAUGAAUCUUUUUUGUUGUUUCAAUUGCAUUCUGUAAUUUGUCUGAAGGAGUGGAUUUACGUAGUUUUUGAUUACUUGUGGAAAAUGUUAAAGCGCUGAGAUCACAAUUUCAAUUACUUAUUCGACUGAAAUUCAUUAAUAUUUUGCUGAACGUUGCCAUUUUUUGUGCUGCGGCAGGAGGUUCUAUGGAAGACGUAGGUGCCGGAGGCUGGUAUGAUGUUUAAUGAAGAAAUCGACAGGUUUAUUGCGAUUUGUGCACUCGAUAAUAUUACCUAGGUAAAGAUGUUAGGUUAUUUGUUGUUUUAACGGAUUGACGACAGUCGGAGACGCAGAAGAAAGCACCAGCGACAUAUACAGAAAUUAAUGGUUUCAGUUCGGUGGGUGAAUUAUUUGGGGAAAGUAGCGUAAGAAAGUGGGAGUCAAUCAUAGUGGGGGGUUUUUGUUUGUUUCAACGGUGACAUGAUAUUUUAUUUAUUUUUUUAUUUUUAAACAAAAAUUGCUUGACAACUUAUCUUCUG